rnacentral:rRNA from 1 species
GAGGGUGCAAGCGUUAAUCAGAAUGACUGGGCGUAAAGGGCGUGUAGGUGGUUGACUAGGUUUGAUGUGAAAUCCCCGGGCUUAACCUGGGAAUUGCGUCGAAAACGGGUCGACUGGAGCGAGAUAGAGGGUUGUGGAAUUUCCGGUGUAGCGGUGAAAUGCGUAGAUAUCGGAAAGAACAUCAGUGGCGAAGGCGACAACCUGGAUCUUAACUGACACUGAGGCGCGAAGGCGUGGGGAGCAAACAGGAUUAGAUACCCUGGUAGUCCACGCAGUAAACGAUGAGAACUGGCUGUGAUGCGUAGGGAGCAAUCUCUGCGCGACGUAGCGAAGCUAACGCGUUAAGUUCUCCGCCUGGGGAGUACGGCCGCAAGGUUA